GUCCCGAUGGUGAAACGGAGGAUCAUGCCUCGGUCCUAACGAGGAGUUCCGGGUUCGAGUCCUGGUCGGGGCA
rnacentral:tRNA from 1 species